UCUGAGAAGCCACGCCCACCUCCUGCUAUGCUGCAAGGCUCUGGCACAUCCCGCGCGGUCCUAAUGCUUGAUGGGUUCCAGCAGACUGAGGACGUGGGUUUGGGACUUUCGGACCACGGCGAGGAUAAGACUGAAUUGAACCCUAAAUCAGCUUCCGUGAUAAAACCGAGAGAUGGAGAAUUACUCAGCACAUUUUAUAUUGAUAAAAGAGUGCCCGGUGCAGAAGAACCAGAAGAACAAGGCCUGGAAUCCUCAGGAACUGGAAUUACAAAUGUUUGUGAACAGUCACAUGGCUACUGGAAUCAGUCUCUGAUCUUUUGGAAAACACACCCUGUCCUCUUAAAUCCCUGAGCCACCUCUCCAGCUCCUGUUUUAUAUUCUAUUCCUAAGUAUAUUUUGAACUUUGGAGGAAAUGCUUUCUUAGUCUGUUCACAUGAUGGUGUGCGUUUUAAACUCUGUUUUAUUAAAUGGUGUGUUGCAACAUUUCUGAUUUUAAAA
rnacentral:lncRNA from 1 species